rnacentral:lncRNA from 14 species
CACGAUGCACGGCCAGGGAACACGUCCCACAGCAGCCGAGCGCUGAGCUGCGCAACAGAGAGCGGGCCCCGGGGAUGGAGCACGCUAGUCCGGACUCCCCGUGUGCCCCACACGGGGCAAGCCUUUUCUGAUCUGGCUGCGCGUCUGAAGUUGCAGCCAGCGAGCAGCUCGCGGGGAUCGGGCCGCCCGAGUGGCUCCCAGAGAGACCUUCGCGCCGGCGACGAGAAGCGGCGGUGGCCAAGACUGGAGUAGGUGGCCCGUGGGGGCAGAGUCGGUUGCGAGCAGAUCCCGAGGCGCGGCGCAACGCUGCUCCACCUGCGCACACGGAGCCAUGAGGCACCCCCCUGUCACUUGGUGUGCCAUGCUCUGGCUUCUCAUGCUGGUGUCCGGAUCCUGGGGCCAGGUGAACCGACUACCUUUUUUCACCAAUCACUUCUUUGACACGUACCUGCUCAUCAGCGAAGACACUCCUGUGGGUUCUUCUGUGACCCAGUUGCUGGCCCGAGACAUGGACAAUGACCCCUUGGUGUUCGGCGUGUCUGGGGAGGAGGCCUCCCGCUUCUUUGCCGUGGAGCCUGACACGGGUGUGGUGUGGCUCCGGCAGCCACUGGACAGAGAGACUAAGUCUGAGUUCACAGUGGAGUUCUCCGUCAGUGACCACCAAGGGGUGAUCACAAGGAAGGUGAAUAUCCAAGUUGGAGACGUGAACGACAAUGCACCCACAUUCCACAACCAGCCCUACAGCGUGCGCAUCCCUGAAAACACACCAGUGGGGACACCCAUCUUCAUCGUCAACGCCACUGAUCCUGACCUGGGCGCAGGGGGCAGUGUCCUCUACUCCUUCCAGCCCCCCUCUCAGUUCUUCGCCAUCGACAGUGCCCGAGGCAUAGUCACCGUGAUCCGGGAGCUGGACUAUGAGGUCACGCAGGCGUACCAGCUCACAGUCAAUGCCACGGAUCAAGACAAGACCAGACCUCUGUCUACAUUAGCCAACCUGGCCAUCAUCAUCACGGACGUACAAGACAUGGACCCCAUCUUCAUCAAUCUGCCCUACAGUACCAACAUCUAUGAGCACUCUCCCCCGGGCACGACUGUGCGGGUGAUCACUGCUGUGGAUCAGGAUAAGGGACGGCCCCGGGGGAUUGGCUACACUAUUGUCUCAGGGAAUACGAACAGCAUCUUUGCCCUGGACUACAUCAGCGGGGCUCUCACCCUGAAUGGCCUGCUGGACCGGGAGAACCCCCUGUACAGCCACGGCUUCAUCCUGACGGUGAAGGGCACUGAGCUGAAUGAUGAUCGUAGUCCGUCUGACGCCACCGUCACCACGACCUUCAACAUCCUGGUUAUCGACAUCAAUGACAAUGCCCCGGAGUUCAACAGCUCUGAGUACAGCGUGGCCAUUACUGAGCUGGCGCAGGUCGGCUUUGCCCUCCCUCUCUUCAUCCAGGUGGUGGACAAGGAUGAGGGUCUAAACAGCAUGUUCGAGGUGUACCUGGUGGGCAACAACUCCCACCACUUCAUCAUCUCCCCAACCUCCGUCCAGGGGAAAGCAGACAUCCGCAUCCGAGUGGCAAUCCCACUGGACUACGAGACCGUGGACAGAUACGACUUUGACCUCUUUGCCAACGAGAGCGUACCCGACCACGUGGGCUACGCCAAGGUGAAGAUUACGCUCAUUAAUGAAAAUGACAACCGGCCCAUCUUCAGCCAGCCCCUCUACAAUGUCAGCCUGUAUGAAAACAUCACCGUGGGGACCUCCGUGCUGACAGUCCUGGUAAGUCCCCAUGUUCACAGGGGCCAUAAGCUCUUGGGUAGCCCCAGGGAUACUGAGCAUCUGGGUAUCAGGUACCAUAAGAGCCCAGAGCCUGCUGGUCGGUGAAUGAUGGUAUCCAGAAUCUUCUUGAAAC